GACGAACGCUGGCGGCGUGCUUAACACAUGCAAGUCGAGCGAUGAAGCUCCUUCAGGAGUGGAUUAGCGGCGGACGGGUGAGUAACACGUGGGUAACCUGCCUCAUAGAGGGGAAUAGCCUUCCGAAAGGAAGAUUAAUACCGCAUAAGAUUGUAGUACCGCAUGGUAUAGCAAUUAAAGGAGUAAUCCGCUAUGAGAUGGACCCGCGUCGCAUUAGCUAGUUGGUGAGGUAACGGCUCACCAAGGCGACGAUGCGUAGCCGACCUGAGAGGGUGAUCGGCCACAUUGGGACUGAGACACGGCCCAGACUCCUACGGGAGGCAGCAGUGGGGAAUAUUGCACAAUGGGGGAAACCCUGAUGCAGCAACGCCGCGUGAGUGAUGACGGUCUUCGGAUUGUAAAACUCUGUCUUCAGGGACGAUAAUGACGGUACCUGAGGAGGAAGCCACGGCUAACUACGUGCCAGCAGCCGCGGUAACAC
rnacentral:rRNA from 1 species